GUCCCCGCCCUGCUUGUUCCCGAUGCGAGGUGUCUUGCCUGCGCUCCUGCCCCUAGCUGGACCCCUGACCACCCGUCCAAAGCUCAAUUUCAUCCUGGUCUUUGCAGAUAGUGUCCCGCAUCUUGGAUCAGCGAGACAGCCACCAAGCACAAUCAUCAUCGCGGUGGCCGGAUCCCAAUCUGCCUCCGCCAGGGACGGUUUCUGUGGCCAUGAAGGGAGCCAGAACCGCUAGCCCUGCACGGAUCUAGCCACCCCGUCACCGCCGACGACGGUUGUCCUGGCCACUGCCGGAGCAGUAACCGUAACUGGCUCGCCUCUUCCUCUCUCUCAUGAGCAGUAAGCCAGUAACCGUAGCAUUCCACAUAAUUUAUAGUUUAUGAUCUUCUAAACUUGUCAAGUGCAUAGGCUCAAGUUGUCUUAUGAUGACUGUUAGGUUACAUCUGCUUGUAACGGCAAAAGAGUUCAAGAUUUCGUUUUUCUCCUGAUCAUAUUACUCCUUCCCGCUCAGACUAUUAGCGUGGUUCGUCGGGCGCUUUGUCGUGCCAUUCUCCAACUGGAUUCCACUCGAGCCUGCUGUUUGGGUGACGAUUCAGCUUGCAGUUGUGCACAGCUAAAGCCUCCUCUGGUAGCGCAAAGCUUUUUCAGGAAUCCAUGGCUGAAAGGGUGGGAUAUGCUGAGCUGAAGCUGAGACCAAAAUCGAUCAAGAGCAACUGCAUAUUUAAUUCACAUAGCUCUGAAAUAUGGCCCUAGCAUUGGUGUUUUCCUUUCACUUUAAUGGCUGUAAGGGCGGGAUAUGCUGAGCUCAAGCUGAGACCAAAAUGGAGCAAGAGAAAAUGCAUGUUAAUUCACAUAGCUCAGAAAUAUGGCCCCAAAAUUGGUGUUUUCCUUCUACUUUAAUAGAUGUCAAGCUAUUCCAACAGAAAUAAUGAUCUCUAUUACAAAAGAAAUUAUCCUGUGAAGCGUUUUAUUAUGUUUAUUCAUUAUUUGCAGAUUUAGUUCUUAGUAAGGUGGAGCUAUCUUUCUAGAUUCUUGUCGAAGUGUUCCCUGUAUUUUUGUUGAUGCUCAAAGUUAAGCACAUAUUUUUACUGGAGUCCUUGCAGACAGUCUUUGUUAUCAACUCUGUUGCUACAUCAGUUUCUUAAAAUCAUGGGAUAGUGCAAUAAAUGACCUUGCAUGUCCUAUGUCCAAUAUUUAGUGCAAUAACCAGGUAUGGAGAGUAUCGCUCUUUGUAUUGGCAUAUUAAUUGCAUGGGUUUAGUACAUGAAAUUCCCAAACUGCUCCUUCUAAAUUAUACAUACCACUAUUUUUUUCAUAAUGAAGAAAAAGUGUAUUUCGUCAUUCAGUUAUUGGCUAUGAGUAGAUUUGGUCCAUCUACACUUAUACCUGAUGCUUUUUCCCUACAAAUUUGAACAUCCUUUGGUCUCUCAUAGUGGUUUUCGUUGAUCCAUGGUGGUUUUGGCUGGUUGGGCCGUUAUGCACAUGCCUCGAGGAGGAGGCUGCAGGGGCAGGGGAGAGGGACUCUAAGGAUUAGGCAGGGCCACAUAUUGCUGUGGGGGAUAUGUCACUAGAGUGGUACAUGGAUGAGGAGCAGAUCAGAUAUGGCAGCUCUGGUAGGAAGAUCAAGAACCAGAACAGGGAGGGGAGACUUGAGGUCUACCUAAGCAAUGUUGUAUGAUUGGGGAUCAACAACAGAACUUGGAUGGAGGAUCUGUUAGCUAUUGAACCUUUGUCUCCUCACAAAAUAAUGCUCUUGGUGCCAUGGAAGCACUGUGUUCCCUGUACUAGAUCUGCUUCAAAAAAAGGGACAAAUAGGCAUAGUACAUAUGAAGUGAUCCAACGUGGUCAUGUAAUUAGUGAUUUGUUAGACAGAGAAAGGUCUAUUUACUUCUUUAUUACUGCUUUUUUUUGUAAAUGUGCAUAUUUACUAUUUUACACCAGAGUACUUACACUUAUGAAGCAUGGACCAAUGCACCUUCAAUUACGCAUUUAUGUGGCUGAUGCAUUAGUUAUUUAUUUACUACUUUGCUAUCCGAAAUGAGAACACGUUCAUUUGCUUGUCACAGUUAAAAGAUCUUAAGUCGU